CCUCACGACGCCAGGACAGCGGAGUCAAUCACCACCUUCCGGAGACACCUGAAACCCCACCUCUUUAAGGAAUACCUGGGAUAGGAUAAAGUAAUCCUUCUACCCCCCCCCCCCUUAAAAGAUUGAGAUGCACUAUUGUAAAGUGGUUGUUCCACUGGAUAUUAUAAGGUGAAUGCACCAAUUUGUAAGUCGCUCUGGAUAAGAGCGUCUGCUAAAUGACUUAAAUGUAAAUGUAAAUCUAAAUGUCAAUGCCAUAGCAAAAACUGACCGGGAAGAGAAGAGUGUGCUCUGCGCAGUGAAAUUAAUGUUAAAAUACACUUGUGAACUUAAACAAAAAAAACACAACGCACACCUCUACAAAUGUUUUUAUCGUUAGUAAAAUCCCAAACGGAGGCAGGUGGUUCAACUACAGUAAAUCCCUUAAAAACUUGGAUUGAAACGAUCAGAUGGAGACAUCGGAAGCACUAUCCCAUUAGAAGAGGUUGAGUAUUCCGGUAUUUACUGAAAACUGUAGAAUGACAGCCCAUUAAGCACGGAAAUGCUGGGAGAGACAAAUUAUGCAAGAGGCAGCAUAAUGUUGACGUUAUCCAGUGGGUGUUUCUGGCACACUUCCCAGGUAGGAUGGCACAACUGAGAUUACUACCAGAUAAUGUUGUGAAUUUCAGUGUUGUGGGAAACUGACAGCUAUAACCCAGUCUUUCUCUACCCCUAUACAAACUACAAUUGGUCCAUAUUAGUUGAUGAUUAAUAUUAUAGUAAUAUGGUUGAAUGUUAGUACAAUAGUAUGCCAAAGUGUAGCACUGAAAAUAGCUGAGGAAUAUACAACAAUUAUACAACUGAUACUAAAACGGCUACAGCUGUCAUAUCUAUGCUAAGGUUGACUGAGUGAUGAUGUUCUCACCUUGAGAGAAGAGUGGACGGCUGACUCGGACGGGUAGACAAUGAAGUGGCGCAGCGUGAAGCCGAGACACUGCGAGGUGCGCUGCAGCCGGAGCGUCUUGGGGCCCGGCCAGGAGAAGCGCUCACUCCCCCUGCCUGGGGACCCUGUUGCUUGGGUCGACGCCUCGCUCUGGUCAUGCCCACCCUGCUGUUUGGCCUGAGAAAAACAUAGAGAGGGAUUGAUAGAAUAUUAAUAUGGGAGAAGGUGGAUUGAAUCGAUUGAAACUGUGAAGGAUGCAGCAGAAAGAUUCAGCAGAAAGGCAAAGAGGGAGAAAGAGCGACACAGUCAGACAUGACAUCCGCAGCACACCCAUAAGAUUUAGACAUAAGGGCCUGGUCAGAUAGGAGAACAUGAACAAAUCUAGUCUAAUUUAGAUCUCCCAAUAGGAGACCUUCAGUACAGAUGACAUAAUAACAAUAAACAAUAACAAAGC
rnacentral:lncRNA from 1 species